AGGCUCGCUUCUUCAAGUUCAAGUUCCGCUUGCUGCUUCUCAUUUUGAUAGGAGUAGGUGCUUGCAGCUCGCUCGCUGUCUACUAAAUGAGCCUUCACUGCCCGCCCGGCCCCUAUCUUUAAUCUUAAGUAAGCAAGUUCAAGUUUCGCUUGCUGCUUCUCAUUUUGAUAGGAUUAGGUUCUUGCAGCUCGCUCGCUGUCUACUAAAUGAGCCUUCACUGCCCGCACGGCCCCUAUCUUUAAUCUUAAGUAAAGUGAAGUCAAAUCAAUGAAGUGAACAGCCCAACCUCUUUGUUUGAAGCUUUGCCAGGAAGCUUCUA
rnacentral:lncRNA from 1 species